GGCCGCUUGGCCCAAUGGUUAAGGCGUCUGACUACGACCGAGCAUUGCAUGGUAUCUCGCGCCGAUACGUAAACGUGCUUGAUAUAGCUAGGUGAUCAGGAGAUUCUGGGUUCGACUCCCAGGGUGGCCU